rnacentral:rRNA from 1 species
UACGUAGGGUGCAAGCGUUGUCCGGAAUUACUGGGCGUAAAGGGCGCGUAGGCGGCCUGUGCAAGUCAGUUGUGAAAUCUCCGGGCUUAACUCGGAACGGUCAACUGAUACUGCUCGGCUAGAGUGCGGAAGGGGCAACUGGAAUUCUUGGUGUAGCGGUGAAAUGCGUAGAUAUCAAGAGGAACACCAGAGGUGAAGACGGGUUGCUGGGCUGACACUGACGCUGAGGCGCGAAGCCAGGGGAGCAAACGGG